rnacentral:tRNA from 1 species
ACACCGAUGGUGUAGCGGUUAUCAUGCUUGCCUUCCAUCGCCCCAAAUAAGCAAGCGGCACGGGUUCGACUCCCGUUCGGUGUA